rnacentral:rRNA from 1 species
UGUGUAGGCGGUUUGAUAAGUUAGAUGUGAAAUCUUCGGGCUCAACCCGGAAACUGCAUUUAAUACUAUUAGACUAGAGUACGAAAGAGGGAGAUGGAAUUCUCGGUGUAAGAGUGAAAUCUGCAGAUAUCGAGAGGAACACCAGUAGCGAAGGCGAUCUCCUGGGUCGAUACUGACGCUGAAACACGAAAGCUAGGGGAGCGAACAGGAUUAGAUACCCUGGUAGUCC